GUUGGCGUAGCUCAGUGGUGAGAGCUAUUGCCUAGCAUGCAUGAAGCCCUGGGUUUGAUCCCUAGCACUGCCA
rnacentral:tRNA from 1 species